rnacentral:rRNA from 1 species
AGUGAACGCUGGCGGCAGGCCUAACACAUGCAAGUCGAGCGGCAGCGCGUCCGACCACCCUCGGGUGGUCGGAUGGCGGCGAGCGGCGGACGGGUGAGGAAUGCAUCGGAAUCUGCCUCGUUGUGGGGGAUAACGUAGGGAAACUUACGCUAAUACCGCAUACGACCUACGGGUGAAAGUGGGGGACCUUCGGGCCUCACGCGAUGAGAUGAGCCGAUGCCGGAUUAGCUAGUUGGCGGGGUAAAGGCCCACCAAGGCGACGAUCCGUAGCUGGUCUGAGAGGAUGAUCAGCCACACUGGAACUGAGACACGGUCCAGACUCCUACGGGAGGCAGCAGUGGGGAAUAUUGGACAAUGGGCGCAAGCCUGAUCCAGCCAUGCCGCGUGAGUGAAGAAGGCCUCGGUU